UGUCACCUAGUGUUUGCCAAUGAAGGCCGCUACAUGAAGUUACAAACUGCUUCGAGUUGAUGAAGCAAAAAUGAACAACAGGAGAAAUAUUGUGUCGAUGUGUUUAGGUAGAAUCGGACAUUUUUUGUGCCUGUGUGUGCAUUGGUCAUUCGGUCAUGUCUGUUUAUGUUCUGCGACUGCUGCUGUGUUGUGUCGUUCAUGCUGAAUACUUGGCUCUCUGUUGGCUGCUUGACUGGCGCAAGCUGUCUGCUGUCUCUCGACUGUUUGCCAGUUGCUGGCUGUCUGCCUAUUUGUCGUGUGUCUGAUUGUAUUUAUAAUGGUCAUCCUAGAUAGAAGAACAGACAUACCAUAGGAGUAAUUUUUACCUAUGUAGGUCGCCUGCUGUCCACUUGAACCUUCAAUGACACAAUUUAAGUCGGGGGUCAGAUGGAAAUCCAUCCAUCACUUUUUGACACGACAAAGAAAUUUCUUUCGCGCCUGUUCGGCCAGUGGUAGAUCAGACAAGCGAGAAUCCUUAGAUUCGGUUUCGAAUCUCAGGUCGGGAAAUGAAAUGUUAGUUUUUACACUCACCUUCUUUAUCCAGGCCACCACAGCGCCUUCCCCGCUGAACGGGCUCAACACAUCAUUUCCGAUUCUGAUUUUCGUGGCCAUUACAAACGAAGAACAAGAGCAACAAAAAAUUAUAAAAUAUCUACUUCCCGGACGUAUCCUCACAGCUGGUAACAACAUGCCGAAAUAGCUCGUGGUUUGAAGGCAUGUAAAUAAAAUUGCUCUCCCUCGACUUGCAACCGGGUACCGCAGGCAGAUCGAUCGAUUCUUCACCCUCGUUGUCACGACCUCUCUAUCUCCACGUCUCCAGGCCUCAGGGAAAAAACUAAAACGCAGGGAAACUUUUCUUCUCAUUCGCUGACGCGACGUCAUCUCUCGUCGCUUCCAAUCUUCCUUCCACCACAGUUAAUCCAUAUAACACUGACACCGUCUAGAGAUUCCGAUUGAAUGUUUAGUGUAGAGAAAAACCAUUAUCGUAAAAUGAAAUAAAG